AGAGUUUGAUCCUGGCUCAGAGUGAACGCUGGCGGCGUGGAUUAGGCAUGCAAGUCGCGCGAUUCCGCAAGGAAUAGCGGCAAACGGGUUAGUAACACGUGAGUAAUCUUCCUUAAAGUCAAGCAAAGCAUCCUGAAAAGGGUGGUAAUUCUUGAUAGUACUUUAGGUGUUCAUGCACUUAAUGUUAAAGACUGGGACCGUAAGGCCAGUCGCUUUUUGAUGAGCUCGCGUCCUAUCAGCUAGUUGGUGAGGUAAUGGCUCACCAAGGCUUUUGACGGGUAGCUGGUCUGAGAGGACGAUCAGCAACACUGGGACUGAGACACUGCCCAGACUCCUACGGGAGGCUGCAGUCGAGAAUCUUUAGCAAUGGACGAAAGUCUGACUAUGCGACGCCGCGUGCAGGAUGAAGGUUUUCGGAUCGUAAACUGCUUUUGUCAGGGGAGAAAGAUUGCAGGUUAAUAGCCUGCAAAAUGACGGUACCUGAAGAAUAAGCCACGGCCAACUCCGUGCCAGCAGCCGCGGUA
rnacentral:rRNA from 1 species